UACGAAGGGUGCAAGCGUUAAUCGGAAUUACUGGGCGUAAAGCGUGCGUAGGUGGUCUUUUAAGUCCGUUGUGAAAGCCCUGGGCUCAACCUGGGAAUGGCAGUGGAUACUGGAAGGCUGGAGUACGGUAGAGGAGGGUGGAAUUCCCGGUGUAGCGGUGAAAUGCGUAGAGAUCGGGAGGAACAUCAGCGGCGAAGGCGGCGUCCUGGACUGGUACUGACGCUCAGGAGCGAAAGCGUGGGGAGCAAACAGG
rnacentral:rRNA from 1 species